rnacentral:rRNA from 1 species
CUGGGCUUGACAUGCAUCAGACAGCUGCAGAGAUGUGGUUUCCCUUGUGGUUGGUGUACAGGUGGUGCAUGGCUGUCGUCAGCUCGUGUCGUGAGAUGUUGGGUUAAGUCCCGCAACGAGCGCAACCCUUAUCCUAUGUUGCCAGCGGGUAAUGCCGGGGACUCGUGGGAGACUGCCGGGGUCAACUCGGAGGAAGGUGGGGAUGACGUCAAGUCAUCAUGCCCCUUAUGUCCAGGGCUUCACACAUGCUACAAUGGCUGGUACAGAGGGCUGCGAUACCGUGAGGUGGAGCGAAUCCCUUAAAGCCGGUCUCAGUUCGGAUCGCAGUCUGCAACUCGACUGCGUGAAGUCGGAGUCGCUAGUAAUCGCAGAUCAGCAACGCUGCGGUGAAUA